rnacentral:tRNA from 1 species
ACAGGUGUAGCUCAGUGGCAGAGCACGUGCUUAGUAAGCACGAGGCCCUGGGUUCAACUCCCAGUAUCUCCA